AGCUAUCUAUGCAAUAAGGAGGUUAAAUUUAUUGAGUGUCUGUUCCUUAAGUCCAGACUAAUUAAUUUACAGACUUUAAGCUAGGACAGUCCUUCUGAGCACCUAAUGUGGCCUAAUACUUAACAGAGUUUGUAGAUUUCCUAGGACCCACUGCAAAGAUGUGAAAAGUGACAUGGCCAGGAUUAUAUGUCAGGAAAAAUGAGCAUGGCUGUGAAAAAAAGGAGGAAGCAGGGGAGAACUUAGCGCUGUGAGAUGAAGGCCUAGAAUUGGGGCAGGGAAUGGAAUCAAGUUGUUUGGCAGAGGAGAUGGGAGAAGUAGCAAAAAGGAAAGAAGAAAUUAGUCAUGAAGCAUCUCAGCCUGGUCAUUGGAUUUCUUCCAGAAGCUCCUUGCAGCACUAGGAGCAGAAACAGAGGAAAUAAGUGUAGGAGGAUGGGUUACACAAACUAGCUCAGUAAUGAGCAAUAAAGGAGAAGAGGAAGGAGAGUUUGGAGGCAUUAUCAUGCCAACAGAUGGACCAGAAGAGGAAAAGGGAAGAAGGCAGGAAGCACAUGAAAGCCACUUUGACUACAGAGGCCAAGGUACCAAGCUGACAAUGAGAUAAAAUUCUAGACUGUACCGUGUCCCAGUUGUUGUACUUUUCAUAGCUGUGGCCGGCAGCACGAGCUUGGCUGUCAAACUGGGUGUCCAGCGCAGCCUGCAGGUUGUCAAUCAGAACUCUGGAAUAAGGCACCAUGAGGAGUGUAAAGAGAAACAUACUAUAAUCUAGCAGGAAAGUAAGACAUUUAAAGGUGUUCCUGGAAUUAAGGCCAUGUGGAUUGUGAAGUGAAAGGUGAGCAGGUUGAAAGUAAGAUAUAUUAGGUUCAAGUUUCAACCUACUUCCUGCCUCAGUCUUGCCACCAGAAUGAUCAGGGAGCAAUGGGCUUCUCCCAGUUAACACCUGCCUGCUUACUCCCAUACUAGCAAACCUCCAGGGUGGCAACAGUUUGAUUUAAGAAAAAUGGCAAUGCUAAGAUAGAGUUUGUCUAGAAAAUGAGCUCUGGGCUGAUCUCAUGUUGCCAGAUGCCUCUGCCUCAAUAGGAAAAGGGCUCUCUCUUGAACUUUUGGUAAUGGAGGGAAGUUAAACUGCAGCAAUGUUUCAAUCCCAUGCAGAAACCCAUGUUUUGCUUGAUGAAAUUCUCUGUCAAACCUAGCUUCCAAAGUUUAGAUGUGGUUUGACUUCUCUAUUGCAGGGGCAUUGUCCAUCCUUUAAGCUACUUUAUUGAGUGUGAGGUGGGCUACUAAAGUUGAACACACAAUGGCAAGAAAACCCCAGCAUCAUGUCUGGAUUGUUUGGGUCUCUCCUGUUCACCUUUCCCUGGGGCUGACACAAAGGCACAGCUCAUCACUGAGCAUACUCUUGAGAACCUUUUGCUUAUAUUUCAACCUUGGCCAUCAAAAAACGAAGUCCUCUUGUUUUUCCAGUGCCUGUCUUAACACGUUUACAAAUCUUGCUCAUCCAGGAUAUGUACCUGGUGAUUUGUGACUUGGAUAGAAGAACAGGAGGCCAGUUUGUGAGGCAUCACCAGCCUUCAGAACAAACAGUGCAAAUGACUACAUUGACAUGUCACGGCACUGCAGCUGCACUUCAAAAGAAUUAUAACAUCUUGGGUUGUCACAAGGACAACCCACUCAAGUUUGUCAGGGUCAGCUUCCAGACCCUUGUGGCCUUUGUUGCAAUCAAAAGAUUUGUGCAUGGACCUGAGGGAGUUCAUUAAUAUUAUAGGAAAGCUAACACAUGUAGAGUAACUCCUCCAUUGCUACAGAGGAAAUUCCACUAAAAAUUGGAUUUCUGUGCUGUAUGUGCACUGUGGCAUUAUUGAAAAUUAUUUAUUCCAGAGUGGUUUUAGAUUCUGUUCUCACAGCAGCAUCCAAAUUAGUCAUGAUUAACACGAGGCCAGUAAAUUUAGGAUGGGUUACCUUCGGAUUUAUCAGAUCGUAAAAGUUAUGUUUCAUGAGGACUGUGUGGUGGCCUAUGAAGGAGCAACAACAAUGGGGCUGAGAGACAAAAACUCUACACUCAGCCAAAUGAAAUAAUAAACAUUUGAUCAAAUAAUACUGACUUUCACUGUUUGAGUACACGAUGCUGACAGAUUACCCUUUAGACAUCAAAAAAGCCUGUUAAUGAGGCUGGGCAGAGCCAAUUUGCAAUGCUCAGGUGGAGUGAAAGGAGAAAUGAAGACAGAACAACCCCCCUCCACUCCAUCUGAAAGUCAAUUUCUCUUCCUCAGUUAAUGCUUACAUAGUGAUUGGGAAAGCAGGACCAGGCAACUGCUUAUUCUCCUUAUUCUUCCGUUAGUGCUGCUCACUACAAUGUUUCUGUUCUCAGUGAUGCAUAAUGUGCCAGUUUGCUCUGUUCCCUCCACUUAUGCUGCAGUUGUAUUUGAUCGGCUCAUGGCUUUUUUACUUCUAAGUAAAGAUACAACUAAAAGCUCUCUCUUUGGAGAGAUCCUUGCUGUGGAUCUUCUGUGGGACUUGAGAAAGCCCAAGAUUUUUCUGGGAAUCUGUUCUCCCCACUUGCUUGGCCUUUCACCUUGCAACUGUCUCCUGCGUGUCACCUGUUGGGUUUUUUUGGCCCUCUGCCUGUUGUUCUGCAACUUAGAGAACUCACUGGGGAGCUGCUCAUGGUGGCCCUUGGGGCUCACCAUUUUCUGGCUUCAGUUCCCUCUUAGUAUCAUUCAAACUCAUCUGGUGUGCUUUCUGGCUCUUUCUAGACUUCUGCUGAAUUUUGUCUUUAGUGGGAAAUCUUUCUUGUCCUCUCCACACUGUACUGCAAUGAGCUUUCACCUCAGGGAAAUUUCUGGUAGUGCAUCUUUGCUUCCUGUACCUUGCCUCUGUCAACAUUUCACCUCAGCCCUUCAACACAUAGUGAUUACAGUCCAUUUGAACUAUCUUAGGAAAGCUGAACUCAGUAGAGUCAUCCACAGGAGGGCCGAAGUUCCUGACAGGAAAAUCAAUUGACCAAUAUGAAAAGCUCAAACACAUUCUCCCCAGUGUUUAGUUCUCUUCCAUUCAAAAUACAGUAGUGAGAACGAACUUACUGAUACUCCACUGCACUUUCCUUCAAAAGUUCUUCAACCUCAAAAGAAUUCUCAGCUCCAACUCGGAAAUCAACUUGCAUUUUUGGCCUUACCAGAGUGACAGAGUCUGGCUGCCAAAAGUCAACCUGAAAGAAGGGCAGAUGAAUACAUAAGCAAAUAAAUAUGUCCAUGUGGCUGUGAUUUUUAGGUUGGUGUAUGUGUGAUGGUGAUGUCGAUUGUGAUUAAAAGAUUGAAUUUCAUUCCUAUUCUGUUACACUGAUCAGACCUUGCUUGCCAGAAGUAUCAACCUAAAUUUUAACUGGAAAUGUAAAAGAAGUUGGGGCUUCUUAGUCAUGAACUAUGUGUCAUCAAGUAAGGUGAUUGUUCCAGAAUACAGAAUUACAUCAGUCCUGACCGAUUGCUUUGUAUAACAAUGGUAUUUCAUGGAUCUUUGCUUAAAAGAAAAAGAAAACAAACAAUCCCUUUAUUCUACACACUUUAAAGCAAGCAUGGUAUGUAUUAAUUUUCUUAAUAUUGGCAGCACCAUUCCAAUAGCUUGUUCUUCUUCAGAAUACUGUUCCAGCAUGCUAUACUAGCCUGUUGAUGAUAGUUCUCCACAUCUGUACUUCAUUAAAAAUACUCUCCUUUCAUCCUUCAGAUAAUGGUGUCUUUUUCACCAACAGCUAUUUUACAACAUCAAAGCUGAAGAGAAAUAUUGAAAACACAUUUUCUGUCUUUAUAGUUUUUCAUCAUGUCACUGUGUCAUCAUAUAUCUACAUCAAGGUUCUUUACCUGCAUGAUGCUGGCAAGGGAGUUGAGGAUUUCCACCUGCUCAUCAUUCUGUGGAAUCACACGAAACACCUUCUGUCUGGAAAAGGAGAAAAAGAUUGGAUUUGAAACAGAUGCUACUUAACAUGUGAGCAGGUAACAGAUAAGGAGAGAAAAGAAUGGAAGUAAUGAGAUCUAGGAUAUGGAGCAGAAAAAAAAGGCAGCUCUCAUGACUUUGGGAUGUGUUUGUACCACUGCUAUUGACUCAUCAGCUUCCAACCCUGAAAUCUGAUCUGCUAGGAAGGAAUGAAGAAGAAGUAGAGAGAGAGAGACCACACUUUGAUCCGCUGCCUCCUGAAACAUCACAGCUACCUGAAAUCCUUUCAAUUUCUGUGAAUUAUUUAAAAUAUUUUCUUUAAAAAAAUAUAUAUUUUGAUGUGGAAAUGUUGCCGUAGUGUCUCAUAGAAAAGGUGGAAAAGGUAUCCCAAGGCCCCAUACCGUAUUCUGCAGCUGGUAUGUCACACCAGUGAUGUUCUGUGACUAAGGACUCCAGCCCUGGAGCAGCUCAGGUGCUCGUUUGAUGCAAAUGUCAUCAGGAGAUCUGGUCCAGAAACCUGGCCAGAUUAAAAAAAUAAUUCAAAUAUGUAAAAAUAUGGAAUAUAUAUAUAUAUGCUAUUUUUCCCCUAUAAAACCCCAUAAUACUCCUACCUUGAGAAAUUUCAUAGUGAAAGAUGAUGUUCCUUCCCUGUUGUGCUUAGCUGUUUUUUACUACUGUGCAACAGACUGCUUGUAGAAGGGCUGGGGAAUUUUUUCCUCUUGGUUUACUGCCAAAGAUCUUCCUACCUAAGCAGAGCUGACACUUGGUUUGUUCAGGAUGUUGCAGUAUGUUGUAUGUCAGACAUUUGAUUUUAUUUUCUCACUGGAAGGCUUACAUCAGAAGUUUGGGAUUUUGCUUGUUUCUGAUUAAUACACAAUUUUUAAUUAAAUAUUUUGCUUCCUUUAUGCUACCUUUGUAUUUUCUGAAUUAAGUCAGUUGCUGGAACUUCUCUCAUAUUUGAAGAAACUGGUAAUUCUUAUUCCAUCAGGGAAAUAGGAAUAGGUCAUGAUGUUCAAUACCUCCCACUCACUGAAUAACAAGCUUCUGGAACCUUAACUAAGAGAUUUUGUCAUGAAACAAAGGUGAUUAGUUUGGCUUAUUGCAAAUAAUUUUGGAUUGAAUUAAGAAUUUAUGCAGAAUGAAAGAUGAGAUAGUGCUCUCUUCAUCAACUUUCUCCUUCAUUAUAUUCUAAGAUGGGACCCUAACAUCCAAAAUAGUUAGAAUUGUAAUCUAUCUGUCAUAUUUCAUUAGAUUCUGAUAUGAGUGAUGGGUGGAUGGAAGCUGGACCACUUUGUUCAAGGAAGAUUCAGCACA